UUCCCAGUCCUUUGACUGACGGUGCAGUGGGCACGAGGCGUGAGCCCGAGUAGUGUCACAGUGCUUACAUUUGCAUACGUGAUCUGAUUGGAUGACGGAUCCGUCGCUGCCGAAAAACAUUUUUCAACUUUUUGACGGAGCCAAAGGCUCCAACGGAGCGCACGGAUCCACAAUGCAGUCUGUCCGUCCCCGUUCAAAGUCAAUGGAGAUCAGUCAAUGGACGGAAGCAGUGGGCACGAGGCGGAGGGAGGGAGGGAGGGAGGGAGGGACGGAGUGAGGGAGGGAGAGAUCCACUUGGUUGCUGAUUUGAGUUUUUUUGUGUUUUUAAUAUUUUGCAGAAGUUGUAAUGCAAUUUAUAACGGGUUCAAGGAAGACUAGAUAAAGGAAUUCAACAGCUGUUUUCAAUAAAGGUUUACAUACAAAUAA